rnacentral:rRNA from 1 species
UACGUAGGGUCCGAGCGUUGUCCGGAUUUAUUGGGCGUAAAGAGCUCGUAGGCGGUUCCGUAAGUCAGAUGUGAAAACUCAGGGCUCAACCCGGAGACGCCAUCUGAUACUGCGGUGACUGGAGUCUGGUAGGGGAACACGGAAUUCCUGGUGUAGCGGUGAAAUGCGCAGAUAUCAGGAGGAACACCGAUGGCGAAGGCAGUGUUCUGGGCCAGUACUGACGCUGAGGAGCGAAAGCGUGGGGAGCAAAAGGG